GCAUAGUUUAGAGUCUGUAUGUGAGGGUGGCUGGGAGGUGUGCUGGAGUUUUGUCCGGCUGAGCUGUUUUCCCUGGGGUUGGUUCAGUAACUCAAACACGCUCUGUUACAGCUGUUGCUUUGCUGUGUUUAUCCCCAGUUUUAGUUCUGUAGGGUGGUUAAAGCUUUGCUCCCAGUCAGGGGGUUCUGUGGGCACUGACUGCUUCUCUUUCUGCAGCUGGUGCUGACAAGAAGGCUGAGGCUGGUGCUGGAGCAGCCACGGAAUUCCAGUUUAGAGGUGGAUUCGGUCGUGGACGUGGUCAGCCCCCGCAGUAGAACUUUGUGCUCAAUUUUUGUGUAUAAUAAAAGAGGUGAAAAUGCCA